GAUGAACGCUGGCGGCGUGCCUAAUACAUGCAAGUCGAGCGAAUGAUGAGGAGAUUGCUCCUCUGAUUUAGCGGCGGACGGGUGAGUAACAAGUGGCUAACCUGCCUGUAAGAUGGGGAUAACUCCGGGAAACCGGGGCUACUACUGAAGAAUAAAAGAAUAAGCACAUCUUCUUUUUGAAAGUUGGUUUUGGCUAACACUUACAGCUGGGCCCGGGGCGCAUUAGCGAGUUGGUGAGGUAACGGCUCACCAAGGCGACGAUGCGUAGCUGACCUGAGAGGGUGAUCGGCCACACUGGGACUGAGACACGGCCCAGACUCCUACGGGAGGCAGCAGUAGGGAAUCUUCGGCAAUGGGCGAAAGCCUGACCGAGCAACGCCGCGUGAGCGAGGAAGGCCUUCGGGUCGUAAAGCUCCGUUGUCAGGGAAGAACAAGUACGAGAGUAACUGCUCGUACCUUGACGGUACCUGACCAGAAAGCCACGGCUAACUACGUGCCAGCAGCCGCGGUAACAC
rnacentral:rRNA from 1 species